GCGGGCGCCCUCGCCGCCCGGCUACCUACCGCCGCCUGGGCGCCGCCGCUGCCUCCCUUCCCCGCUUCUACCCUCCAGCAGACGCCCGCCGGAGCGACCCCUCCCAGGGUGUUCCACGUGGCCAUAGCGUUUGCGUCACAAUGACCUGGCGGACAGGUGGGAGCCACAGCGUACACCCCAGGGUUCCCUCUGUGCUGUGCGUAGUGCCUACUGCUUGCUUCCAGGUUAAAUUUCUGUAGCUUUAGAGGACAGGAGACUUCAUGACUUCACUGCCAAGAAAAGUUACAGAGGCCUGCUGUACCUGGAAAUCAAGUUUGAGCUUCGAGAAUAAAGGUCAUGUUUUAAAAACAGCUGUGAAAGAACCAAACCAUUGUUUCUAGAGACCCUGCAGUAUACAGAUCACAGGAAGAAAAAGUGUUGGCAUAGCUGCUUCCUAAUAUUAUCUAUGUGGAAAUGAAACCUCAAUGUAGUAUGACUUCAUCCCUAGUUAUGUUAUACAUUUAUAAAUAAGUUCAUUCAGUCGUCGCUGAAACAAUUUAAAAGGGCCGAAUGAUAGUUAUUGAGUAAUGAUGCUGACGAAUCAGAAAUCCUGCGCUAACAUGGAUGGAGUGCUAGCUCUAUGUCCGGCACAUGCUGU
rnacentral:lncRNA from 1 species